CCUACGGGGGGCAGCAGUGGGGAAUAUUGGACAAUGGGGGGAACCCUGAUCCAGCCAUGCCGCGUGUGUGAAGAAGGCCCUCGGGUUGUAAAGCACUUUCAGUGAGGAAGAACGCCUGGUGGUUAAUACCCAUCAGGAAAGACAUCACUCACAGAAGAAGCACCGGCUAACUCCGUGCCAGCAGCCGCGGUAAUACGGAGGGUGCGAGCGUUAAUCGGAAUUACUGGGCGUAAAGCGCGCGUAGGUGGCUUGAUAAGCCGGUUGUGAAAGCCCCGGGCUCAACCUGGGAACGGCAUCCGGAACCGUCAAGCUAGAGUGCAGGAGAGGAAGGUAGAAUUCCAGGUGUAGCGGUGAAAUGCGUAGAGAUCGGGAGGAAUACCAGUGGCGAAGGCGGCCUUCUGGACUGACACUGACACUGAGGUGCGAAAGCGUGGGUAGCAAACAGGAUUAGAUACCCCUGUAGUC
rnacentral:rRNA from 1 species